UUACCGUGGGACUACUCAGCCAUUGGUUAGCACCGCAGUGGGCCCUGCCCACAGCAGCCAACUGUCAAAGAGUGACCGCUAGUGGUCCUAUUCAGCCAUUGGUUGGCACCUCAGUGGGCUCCACCCCCAAGCAGCCAACUGUCAGCGAGCAGCGGCUAGUGAGGGCAUUUUCAGCUAAUGGUCGGUGGAGUGGUAGUUGUCAAGCAGAGAAUGAGCCAGGACUGGACCUCGCAGGAUGAAAAACAGAGGAACAUUGGCGUGGUGGAGGUUUACAGGAAAGUCGCUAGCUGACUGUGACCUGACCUCAAGAACAAAAGCUCAGGCACCGAGAAGUUUACAACUCACCCCUCCCCUCCCUCACCUUUCCUAGAAAAGGGCCUCACUGAGAGUUUUCGAGGAAUUUGAGGUUUUUAAGGCUUGAGCCACCUGUCUUCUUGCACAGCCCUGAAUAAACCUUUCUCCUCCACUCUCCGA